CAACAGGGAUUGCCUCAGUAACGGCGAGUGAAGCGGCAAGAGCUCAAAUUUGAAAUCUGGCGCCCUCGGGUGUCCGAGUUGUAAUUUGGAGAGGCAUCUUCUGGAUUGGGACCCAGCCUAUCUUCCUUGGAACAGGAGGUCACAGAGGGUGAGAAUCCCGUUCUUGGCUGGAGGAUCCCUCCUGCAUGUAGUGUCUUCUACGAGUCGAGUUGUUUGGGAAUGCAGCUCAAAAUGGGUGGUAAAUUUCAUCUAAAGCUAAAUACUGGCGAGAGACCGAUAGCGCACAAGUAGAGUGAUCGAAAGAUGAAAAGCACUUUGAAAAUAGAGUCAAAAAGUACGUGAAAUUGUUSAAAGGGAAGCGCUGGAGACCAGACUCGGCCUUGGACAAACAGCCCCCCUUCUGGUGGGUGCACUUGUACUCGGUCGGGCCAGCAUCAGUUGGCGUGGCGGGACAAAGGCCCGGCGAAUGUGGCUCCCCUCGGGGAGUGUUAUAGCGCCGGGCGCAAUGCCGCCCACGCCGACUGAGGACCGCGCUCCGGCCAGGAUGCUGGCGUAAUGGUCUUCAGCGACCCGUCUUGAAACACGGACCAAGGAGUCUAACAUCUGUGCAAGUGUUUGGGCUUCAAACCCUCACGCGUAAUGAAAGUGAACGGAGGUGGGAACCCCGCGAGGGGCGCACCAUCGACCGAUCCUGAUGUCUUCGGAUGGAUUUGAGUAGGAGCAUAGCUGUUGGGACCCGAAAGAUGGUGAACUAUGCCUGAAUA
rnacentral:rRNA from 1 species